AGAAAGCAACUCAGCGGAUACAGACCAGACAUCGCUGUGAGGGCAAGAAAUAGCUAAAACAGGAGCCGUGAGCGCUCAGAUGGGAUCGAUAUUCAAUAUUGGAGGGCUUUGCAGUGCAAGCAGCACGAAAAUGCUUCAGAAAAGGAGCGUCUGCUUAAAGGCCAUGCAUCUGUGACGUGGGGACACUGCAGUGAGGCUCUUCUCCGAACCCUUGGGGCUCAGGACUCUGGACGUCGCCCCCAGACAGGCCACUGCGCCCUGUGUGUCAAGCGCUUGCUCAGGCAGUUUGGGCUCUUCCUGCUCCUGUCAUAUUGGGGUUCAGGGUGCCCUCAGCUCCCCUGAGAGGGCGUUUCUUCCAGGUUCUUGGUCUGCUGCCCUCUCAAGAAUGAGAGAGGGGGGCCAGGCAUGGUGGCUCACGCCUGUAAUCCCAGCACUUUGGGAGGCCGAGGCGGGUGGAUCAUGCGGUCAAGAGAUCGAGACCAUCCUGGUCAACAUGGUGAAACCCCGUCUCUACUAAAAAAAAAAUACAAAAAAUUAGCUGGGCAUGGUGGUGCGUGCCUGUAAUCCCAGCUACUCUGGAGGCUGAGGCAGGAGGAUUGCUUGAACCCAGGAGGCGGAGGUUGCGGUGAGCCGAGAUCGCGCCAUUGCCCUCCAGCCUGGGUAACGAGCGAAACUCUGUCUCAAAAAAAAAGAAAAGAAAAAAGAAUCAUUUCCCGCUCCUCCCGAGGACGCGCUUCGCCGGAUCCUAUCCAAGGCUUGUUCUGGUUGUCUUUACUCUUUUCUCCCCACUUCUCCUCCCUCUCCCUAACGUUCGGGAUAGAAAGAUUUCAGGCCUUAUUUAUGUAACUCCAGAGAUCAACUUUCCUUUAGGACAUCUUACGUCGGCCAUAGAGUGCCGCCUGAGGCCUUUGCUGCCUUUGGGGUCCCCAGAGGGCUCAAGCAGACCUGUGGGCGGGGCUUCUCCUACCGGGAACUGCCCCUCCAGGGCACUGGAGGGGAGGCCGAGGCCUGUGAUGCCCAGAAAAGCCAUGUCUAGCCCUGACAGUUCUGUACCAACAACAGCUGCAUGGCCCAGUGUGGGGUGUGUGUGUGUGUGUGUGUGCGCGUGCGUGCGUGUGUGCGCGCGCGCGGGUGUGUAUGUGUGGUGUGCGUGUGUGUGCGCGCGCGCGCGCGCUACCAGCAGGGACCAGCAUCUUUCACUGGCAUCAAAAGACUGACCCAUUUUCAGUAACAACCUUUUUGCAGCUGCCGGGCCUUUGUUGGGUUUGUAUAGGAGACCAGUUGAGCCGGCUUUACGUGUGAGAGAAGUGGAGAAGUCUCAGCAGGUGGGAAGGAAGCUUGGCCAAGGCUCUCCGGUGAGCUGCCCCCUCCUUUCUUCCUGGAAAAUUUCCAGGACCCCAUCUGAAGCAUCCCUUCCCAGGACUGACUGUGGUUUGUCUCUUUGCUGGGUUAGGUAGGAGGAAGGUUGGGGGGGAUGACCACAGCUGAUUUUUGUCAUCCCUCAGUCCAGAUUCCCCACUCCCUCUGCUGGCACCUCUGCUGGGCGUGGCCACCCCCCUGGCAGGAGGACGCAGCCCCUCAUCCCAGCCGCUUUACCCUCUUAAGGCUGCAACUGCUGUGUUUGUCCAUUUCCCACCAAAACCUGGCAGAAGCGUACCAAGUGAUGCCUGAGAAGCCACCUGUGUGCCAGGGUGAUUCUCCUCCAUCCCCGUUCCAGCAGCCCCUCCUACUACUGAGGAUCAGAGCUAGUCACCCCUGCUGGGACACAGACUCCUUUCUUUGCCUGCUGGUCUUUUGGCACAGAGCCUGAAGUGACCAGUGACAGCCAUAGCUUCUUGUCCACUGGAUCCUGUAUCGUGUCCCGUGGUGGCAGUGUUCCCCCUCUGGGGAACAGGCCUCUAGACCUGCAAAGCCCAACAUGGAGGGGACAAGAAGUUCUGAUUCUCUAAUUGGAUCCCCGGAGGUCAUGGUUAGGGGGCUGUUCCUGCUUCUGCUCCUGGGUCCCCAGACCCACGCAUUUUCUCAGCUGGACACAGCAACUUCUGAUGGUCGCUGACUUAGGGUAUAUUCUGCGUUUCGAAGGAUGGAAUUCCCUCUUAAAAGGGCAUUUUCUCCCAGCUGCUAGGUACCUCAGUAGAGCCCACAAGAGGACCACUCCAUCACUCACCCAUAUUGGCAGCAUCUGCAUGGCAUGGUGAGGAAUGGGCCCAGGGGACCCAUGGUCAUGUGCCCAACACCAUGGCUCCUUUGCUGUAAAGUGAGUUUUUUUGGUCCAAAGCAAUGUUAUGUGGUAUUCAAUAUCCAUUGAUCAAACAUUCUACAAACCUCCUGAUAGUGUUCAUAAGAGCAGGAAGGAUAAAUCCACACUUGGAGUAUGUCUUGGGUCAGUCAAAAUGAAUCACUGCCUCACCUUUAGGGCGAUAUAACUGACUUCAAGUCCAGUGGUCAACCUUCCACGGAGUGGCCAGUUGAGUCUCCAGGUGACGCUGUACUGGGAGCUCAGCUUCGGUGUCUGCUGCUGUCUGGCUGGAUACUACGCAGUGUUGGAACUGGAUCAGCCUUGCUGAGCUGCAGGCCGUGCCGCUGAGCCCACCCCAUCCUGCCUCCUUGCCACCAUUGCUACUCACUGAAUGGCCAAUGACCGAGCAGGCUGGCUCCGAAUGGUCAAACCAUCUUCCUACACGGCUGCUGGGUGUCUUCUCGUGGUGGUGCUCUCUGGUGGGUGUUAGCAUGGGACCUUCACACGCAUGCCUGUGCCCAUGGUUCCAGCUGCAUGCAUGACCCUUCCACUAGACUCCUUGUCCCCAACCUUUGAAUUCUCCAGGCCCAGAGCAGCAACAGCCAAGUCUUUUGCUGCUGUCCACGGGUCUGAACAUAUUCUUAUGCCAAGCCACUUCUCUUUCUACACAAAAUGGGUACACUUUCUAAGUGUGGUGGGCAAACAGUGGCUCCAAACAUGCCCAUGUCUGGAACCUGUACAUCUGUUUUGGUACAUGGCAAAAGGGACUUUGCAGAUGUCAUUAAAUUGAAGAUCUUGAGA